AGAGCUACGGUGACACUUCGCGUGCGGUGUAGGCGCAUCUUCGCUCUGUUGGCCGUGGCUUUAGUAAGCACACACCUGCCUGCUACUCUGGUUAUCGUGGCGACGGCAGGUCUGGAUUGCCAGACAGGUUUUUCUUUUUACCUCGAGGCUUUCUCUGAAGGGAGUCGGAGCAUUUAAAAGGCGGCCUCAAGGUGGAUUGAGUCGGGGGAGGAUUAGCAGUAUUUGCUUAGGUUGUAAAACCGCGACUUUAUCUAAUAAAUCGCCAUUCAAGGUGCAAAUACAAACUUGGAACAGAGAUUGCAUUUGGGUUUAAACAGAGGACUUAAUCAUAGCAUGGACAGAAAAGGCUCACCAUCUAUCUAAAUGACUCUGAUUGCACCAUCAUCCUCAUUGUUCUUGCCUGCGCUUUGGAGCCUCUUCUACUCACCACUGACUGGGUUCCUCGAGCAGAUGACGUUGUGACCGGUGUUAUGGUGAUAGUGCUCGUCACUUUGCUUGCACCAGGCCGUGAGGAGAGGUGAUUCCUGGGAGAGCGAAGGACAGUGCCGGUGGAAACCUCCUUUUCGGCUGUCACGUUUACUGGUCGGACAGUAAUAACUGGACUGACUCCUUCACCUGAAGUCCCAGGGGACCGUUUAAACUGAGACCCUAAGUGAAUGUGAAUUUUAUUGUCCUCUGUGGUUAUGAUAUUGGCAUUGGAGUUGUAUUUCCGUACUGGAGUUGGAACAGUCUGUUUUUCUGGGGUGACUUUGAGGAUUGUCCGUCCCAUGGGCAUUUCCUGGGAUUCGGGAGAAACUGCAAUCUCAGCUGGUGCUGCUGAUGUAGACACCGUCAUUAUCUGAAUAGGGGAUGUGGGCCUGUCUGCAAAUGCGCCUCUUCCACUUUCUGGAGUCUUCUCUCUGGAAAAUGUAGUAAUUGUGACUGGGGACAUGGCUCGUUCUGGGCCAAGAGUAGUAUCUCCACUUUUUUGUUUUUGAGGCAUAACGUUUGGUGAUGGAAUAAUGGUUAUUCUUGGUUUCUGAUUCCCUAAGGUAGGAAUGACAGUGGUACUAGAAAAAAAUUCUUCAGAUGUCGGGCUUGUUAUCUCCAAAGUCGCAGUGCUGUUCUCGUGGUCUGGUGUCACUCGAAUAUGCAGGGGCUGGCCCUGCUUUGGUGAAAGGACUACCUCUCCUGGGUGCCCUGGACUGGAAUUUGUUCGGGGCCCUUUCUCCUGAGUGAUGGAGGGGCCGUUUUCCCUCUUUCUCAUCCAUGGAAUCCAAGACUUUCUCAUAGUGAGCUCAUUUGCUGCUGGAGGAUACCUGUCUAGAACAGAAGAUCUUUCCACGGGUUUCUUCAAUCCCACCUGCCGAAGAUUACUCAUAAUAUGAUUUUCUUCCUGGAAGGAUUUCCGUAUGAAUACAGCUGGCGUUUCUUCCUCUGCUGCUUCACCGCUGACUGCAUCAGUUUGGACUCCAGUUGACGUCACAGGAACAUCCACCAUUCUUCUUCCAUUCACACUGGGCCUAAGAGCUCUGCUGUAGCGCUUGGAAAGCUCCAACUCUUUGGUCAGAUUGAGAACCUCCUGCCCCAUGUUUUUGUUCUUAUUUUCUUCUUCCAUAAAUCUUUGUUGAAGUACAGAAUAAUCUACCUGGAGCUGAGAAAGCUGAUCUUCUUUGUUCAUUAAUUCGUGAAUCUUCUCUUUAAGAGCUUGUACUUCGGCUUUUAAGUCUCGACUUUUAGCUUCUUCCAACCGAAAUCUGUGUCUCAGUUCAGCUUCCUGGCUCACAACCUCACCCUUCUCUAUUGCUUUAUUCUUGGCAAUUUGGUGCUUGAUCUCCUCUAGUUGUUGAGAGAGGAAGUUAGCCUUAUCCUGCUCAGUUCUAAAUUUCUGUUCCAGCUGAUCAUACUCAUCUUCUGUCUUCAUCAAAUCCCCUUCGACCACUUCCAAUUGUUGGAGACGUUUCUUCAGUCUCUCAAUUUCAAGUGUUAGUUCCUUAAUCUUAUUAUCUUCCGGGCAGGUGAGCUCAGACCCUUUUCGUGACCUUCCUCUUGUUAUUUCUCUUUCCACUUCCUCUAUACCAUCAAGUCUCUUCUUUAGUAAGUCAACACUGCAGCUUAAUUCAGAGGAUUUUUCUUCUUCACUUUUCAAUUUGCCUAUCAACUCAUCUCUUUCUCUUGUCAAGUUGUAUACUUUUUCCUCCAUUUCAGAUUUUAGUUUUAAAAGUUUCUUACUUUCUUCAAUUAGUUUUUCAGUUACAUCCAUAACUUUUCCUUGUUCCACCUUAAAAUUUUUAUUGAGUCCAUCCACUUUUCUCUCUUCUUGUUUUAUUUUUUCCAUCAUAUUUUUCCUUUCAUCAACCAGCAUCACGGUAAAUGACUUCAACUUGGUAAGAUCAUCUUUUAGGCUUAAUUCAGCCUUUUCCAAUCUACUUUCAGAACAUUCCAAUUCUUUAACUCGACUCUUGACCACCUCCAAUUCAUUUAGCAGGUCUUUGGUUAAGUUCUUUUCUUUCUCCAGAUUUAAAUGUAGCUGGGUGCACUCAGAUUUACUCUUGCUAAAUGCUUCUUCCAAUUUCUCUAGUUCAGACAUUCUCUUCUGUAGCUUCUCAACUUCAAGUCUGAGCUCCUUACUAUGGUGUUCUUCCUCUUGCAGCUUCUUCCUCAAUUCCCUACACUGGGAUUCAGUUUUAGUGAUCUCCUCAUCUUUACCUUCCAUUUCAAGCACACGCUUUCGAAGAUUUUCCACUUCUGCCAUGAGGCUAGAGUUUCCACAUUCUCCUUUGGCAAUUUUAUCUCUUAAUUCUUGAAGUUCUUCCUCUGCCUUCUGCAGAUUUUUGUUGGUCUCUUCUAGCUCCUCGAUUCUUUGGGUUAAGCCAACCAGCUUGAGUCUAAGUUGCCUAUUGUGAGACUCUUGAUUAGCCAGUUUAGCGUUCAUCUCUUCAUGCUCUUGAGAAAACCUCGAAGCCUUGUGUUCAAAGUCCACUUCUAACUUGAGCAAUUUCUGUCUGUCUUCUUUGGAUUUGGAAGUAAUGGCUUUGAGCUUCUCUUCUUCUUCCCUCAGCUUCUGAGUAAGAUCCUGUACUUUCUGGCUUUGCAGGCCAAGUUGUUCAAUGUGCAUUUGUCUUUCAUCCACCAGCAUGAGUGCAAAGGAUUUGAGUUUAACAAGCUCAUCUCUUAGUUUAUUGAGUCGUUUAGCAUUUUCCUUUUCUUUGCGGG
rnacentral:lncRNA from 1 species